rnacentral:rRNA from 1 species
UACAUGGGGUGCAAACGUUGCUCGGAAUUAUUGGGCGUAAAGCGCGCGUAGGCGGUUACUUAAGUCGGAUGUGAAAGCCCUCGGCUUAACUGAGGAAGUGCACCCGAAACUGAGUAGCUAGAGUACGAAAGAGGGUCGCGGAAUUCCCGGUGUAGAGGUAGAAAUUCGUAGAUAUCGGGAGGAACACCGGUGGCGAAGGCGGCGACCUGGGUCGAGACUGACGCUGAGGCGCGAAAGCGUGGGGAGCAAACAGG